CCUACGGGAGGCAGCAGUGAGGAAUAUUGGUCAAUGGCCGGAAGGCUGAACCAGCCAAGCCGCGUGAAGGACGAAGGUGCCAAGCAUUGUAAACUUCUUUUGUCAAGGGACAAAAUCAGGCUCGAGAGCCUGACCGAGUGUACUUGAAGAAAAAGCAUCGGCUAACUCCGUGCAAGCAGCCGCGGUAAUACGGAGGAUGCGAGCGUUAUCCGGAGUUAUUGGGUUUAAAGGGUGCGUGGGCGGGCUGUUAAGUCUGCGGUAAAAGCCCGGGGCUCAACCCCGGCGAGCCGUUGAAACUGGCUGUCUUGAGAUGUCGCGAGGUAUGCGGAAUGUAUGGUGUAGCGGUGAAAUGCUUAGAGAUCAUACAGAACACCGAUUGCGAAGGCAGCUUACCAAUCUAUAUCUGACGUUGAGGCACGAAAGCGUGGGGAGCAAACAGGAUUAGAUACCCCUGUAGUC
rnacentral:rRNA from 1 species